AACGAACGCUGGCGGCAGGCUUAACACAUGCAAGUCGAACGCAUCCUUCGGGGUGAGUGGCAGACGGGUGAGUCACGCGUGGGAACGUGCCCUUCAGUUCUGGAUAACCCAGGGAAACUUGGGCUAAUACCGGAUAUGUGCGAGAGCAGAAAGAUUUAUCGCUGAAGGAUCGGUCCGCGUCUGAUUAGGUAGUGGGUGGGGUAAUGGCCCACAAAGGCGACGGUCAGUAGCUGGUCUGAGUGGAUGAUCAGCCACAUUGGGGCUGAGACACGGCCCAAACUCCUACGGGAGGCAGCAGUGGGGAAUAUUGGACAAUGGGCGCAAGCCUGAUCCAGCCAUGCCGCGUGAGUGAUGAAGGCCUUAGGGUUGUAAAGCUCUUUCGUCCGGGACGAUAAUGACGGUACCGGAAGAAGAAGCCCCGGCUAACUUCGUGCCAGCCGCCGCAGUAA
rnacentral:rRNA from 1 species